UACGUAGGGUGCGAGCGUUGUCCGGAUUUAUUGGGCGUAAAGAGCUCGUAGGCGGUUUGUCGCGUCGGCCGUGAAAUCUCCACGCUUAACGGUGGGCUUGCGGUCGAUACGGGCGGGCUAGAGUUCGGUAGGGGAGACUGGAAUUCCUGGUGUAGCGGUGAAAUGCGCAGAUAUCAGGAGGAACACCGGUGGCGAAGGCGGGUCUCUGGGCCGAUACUGACGCUGAGGAGCGAAAGCGUGGGGAGCGAACAGG
rnacentral:rRNA from 1 species